rnacentral:tRNA from 1 species
ACCUGGGUGGCUCAGUCGGUUAAGCAUCUGACUUUGGCUCAGGUCAUGAUCUCACAGUUUGUGAGUUCAAGCCCCACAUCAGGCU